rnacentral:rRNA from 1 species
UACGUAGGGUGCAAGCGUUGUCCGGAAUUAUUGGGCGUAAAGAGCUCGUAGGCGGUCUGUCGCGUCGGAUGUGAAAACCCAGGGCUCAACCCUGGGCCUGCAUUCGAUACGGGCAGACUAGAGUUCGGUAGGGGAGACUGGAAUUCCUGGUGUAGCGGUGAAAUGCGCAGAUAUCAGGAGGAACACCGGUGGCGAAGGCGGCAUCCUGGACCGGCAUUGACGCUGAGGAGCGAAAGCCAGGGGAGCAAACGGG